rnacentral:rRNA from 1 species
GGCCUUUAUGUCCAGGGCCACACACGUGCUACAAUGGCCGGCACAAAGGGUUGCCAACCCGCGAGGGGGAGCCAAUCCCAAAAAUCCGGCCUCAGUUCGGAUUGCAGUCUGCAACUCGACUGCAUGAAGUCGGAAUCGCUAGUAAUCGCGAAUCAGCAGGUCGCGGUGAAUACGUUCCCGGGCCUU